rnacentral:rRNA from 1 species
ACGAACGCUGGCGGCGUGCUUAACACAUGCAAGUCGAACGGUGAAGCGCCUUCCUUUUUGGUGGGUGUGGAUGAGUGGCGAACGGGUGAGUAACACGUGAGUAACCUGCCCCCUUCUUCUGGAUAACCGCAUGAAAGUGUGGCUAAUACGGGAUAUUCUGGGUCUGUCGCAUGAUGGGUCUGGGAAAGAUAUUGUUUCGGUGGGGGAUGGGCUCGCGGCCUAUCAGCUUGUUGGUGGGGUGAUGGCCUACCAAGGCGGUGACGGGUAGCCGGCCUGAGAGGGUGGACGGUCACACUGGGACUGAGACACGGCCAAGACUCCUACGGGAGGCAGCAGUGGGGAAUAUUGCACAAUGGGCGCAAGCCUGAUGCAGCGACGCCGCGUGAGGGAUGGAGGCCUUCGGGUUGUGAACCUCUUUCGCCAGUGAAGCAGGCCUGCCUCGUUUGUGGGUGGGUUGACGGUAGCUGGAUAAGAAGCGCCGGCUAACUACGUG